rnacentral:rRNA from 1 species
CAUGCAAGUCGAACGGAAUAAUGACUUCGGUUGUUAUUUAGUGGCGGAAGGGUUAGUAAUACAUAGAUAAUCUGUCCUCAACUUGGGAAUAACGGUUGGAAACGACCGCUAAUACCGAAUGUGGUAUGUUUAGGCAUCUAAAACAUAUUAAAGAAGGGGAUCUUCGGACCUUUCGGUUGAGGGAGAGUCUAUGGGAUAUCAGCUUGUUGGUGGGGUAAUGGCCUACCAAGGCUUUGACGUCUAGGCGGAUUGAGAGAUUGACCGCCAACACUGGGACUGAGACACUGCCCAGACUUCUACGGAAGGCUGCAGUCGAGAAUCUUUCGCAAUGGACGAAAGUCUGACGAAGCGACGCCGCGUGUGUGAUGAAGGCUCUAGGGUUGUAAAGCACUUUCGCUUGGGAAUAAGAGAGAUUGGCUAAUAUCCAAUCGAUUUGAGCGUACCAGGUAAAGAAGCACCGGCUAACUCCGUGCCAGCAGCUGCGGUAAUACGGAGGGUGCUAGCGUUAAUCGGAUUUAUUGGGCGUAAAGGGCGUGUAGGCGGAAAGGAAAGUUAGAUGUUAAAUCUUGGGGCUCAACCCCAAGCCAGCAUCUAAUACUAUCUUUCUAGAGGGUAGAUGGAGAAAAGGGAAUUCCACGUGUAGCGGUGAAAUGCGUAGAUAUGUGGAAGAACACCAGUGGCGAAGGCGCUUUUCUAAUUUACACCUGACGCUAAGGCGCGAAAGCAAGGGGAGCAAACAGGAUUAGAUAC